GGAGAGAGUGGAAAUGAGACUUUUAAUCCAAAUUCAGAUAUUAAAAUUGUUCGUAGUACAACAUGUACUUUUAACACAUGAAACGUUGACAUCAAAACAAAAAAAACAUACUAUUUAUUUAUUAUUAUGAAUAUAUAUAUAUAUAAUUUUUUUUUUAUUCCGGCGGAAAACACCUUGGGUGUUCCACAGGAGCGCUGUGAGCUGAUCGGAUCUGCCUCCUCCUACUCUACUGAGCGUGUGUGUCCGUAUGUUGCUCCUACAUUACACACACUUCAUUUAUCAAUAACAUUACACCUUGAAAAGAGAUAUACGUUGUGGAUUAUCAUGUCAGACACGGAGACAAAACCAUCCAGUGAUGGAGCAGAGAAGAAGGAUGGAGAAUACAUUAAACUCAAAGUGAUCGGCCAGGACAACAGUGAAAUUCACUUUAAGGUGAAAAUGACGACGCAUCUAAAGAAGCUGAAGGAGUCGUACAGUCAGAGACAGGGUGUCCCCAUGAACUCUCUACGGUUUCUCUUCGAAGGACAGAGAAUCGCAGAUAACCAGACUCCCAAAGAGAAAGCAGACCAGGACCCCGCUCAGACAGGCGCUCUCGGACCGGUUAUUUUGCUUCUCGGGUCCUUAGAAUAGCACAGCUCCGAGAGGGAGAAGACAUCAGGGUUGCUCUGAAAGCCACUACACGUUACGUACGUGAAAUCAGUUUUGUUCAAAUGCCUCUCUGUGACUAAGUUUACAUGGACAGCAGUAAUCUAAUUAUUGAGCUUAUUCGGAAUAAGACAAUAUUUCGAUUAAGGUGUUUACAUGUGUUGCUUUUAGUAUAUUACUUUCAUGUUUUACAUGUUAUAGAACAUAGAUCGAUUAACGGCACACGUCAUUACGUCACCGAGCCACGCCGUCCGACGUUCCCUCCAGAAUUUCACGUAUCAACAUACAGUUCAUCUUCGUUAUGUUGGGGAUGGAGGACGAGGACGUGAUCGAGGUGUAUCAGGAACAGACUGGCGGCUACUGGAACGACUAGACCUUUUGCUUCCUCUCCUUUCUUUUUAAAUCUUAAUUUUGUAUGUACGAUGUUUCUUUCUUUCUGUUUCCUUUUGUGCUUCUCUCAGAGGGAAAUGGAAAAAAAACAAAGAAAACCAUCUGGAUCAAAGCGAUACUACUCGGCUGGAGAGAUGGGAUCAGAGGUAUAGGAAGGAGGAAAGAAUAAGGAAAAAGAUAACUUUUUUCCAAAUCUUCCUCUCUCUCUCUCUCUCUCUCUCUCUCUCUCUCUCUGUGUCUUUCAGUCUUUUAAAUACAGAGUCUGGAUUAGUGUGUGCCACUGACCCUCAGAGCAGCUCUUCAAAUUCCCCCAAUGAAUUGAUCCCCAUCAGUGACGCUUCAUUUCUGCAGGAUAGACACUAAAUCAUUCAUGUCUAUUCCUACAUGAUAUUCCUCUAAUAUGCAAUUAUUGUCGGAUGAUAAAACGUGUGCUGCGUUUUCCUUUGUACGUGACAUUUGCACAUAUCAAGGGAGCGACAGCUUCGUGUUGUAGCUGUUUGUGAUGCAUGUUGUUGUUUUUUUUGGUUCGUUUGUUUCGUCUCUCCGUUCAGACAAUUGCUCCCCUGUUUAUUAAAAUAAUACAUAACGCAAUAAGGCCCUGUUUUAUCAUUACAUAAGAACGAUCGCUGAUCAACACUCAGGGGGCGACGAAAUAACUCCACUGAUCGAUCUCUCUCUCUCUCUCUCUCACACACACACACACACACACACACACACACACACAUGAUGAUGAUGAUGUCACUGCACGUUUAGCUUUUUCGUCCACUUCUUAGCUUGCAUUUUAAACUUGAGAAGACUUGGUCCAGAUGGUUUGUGGACAUAGAAGAGAUUGUUAUUUUGCUUUUGUCUUGUUUUUUUUUGUUUUUUGUUUUU